UUCUUCCCUCACACCAGAAUUAUCCACAGCUGAAUUUUGGCUGGUUUGUUAGAACAAAUGCUCUUACUCCUUUGACACAGGAACCUUUCCCAGCAUGCUCCUCUUUCAGUUGCUGGCCCUCGAAAUUCUGAAUAAAACUACAGAACGCAUUUUAGAAGCUGCAGGCUGUAACUACGUCCCUUAAAUUCACUUGAACCCCAGCUCUAGCCUCAUCUGGAUCCAGAUUUGAACCCUGAAUUGGAUGGAAAUCUACUCUUCACUGCUAGUACUUCUCUGUAAUGUAUCAGACCAAAGCCCUGGAUCCAACAAUACUUUGAAUGUUGAGGAAGUUUGGAUCCAGAUCUUAAUGUCGUGGCUCUGCUUCUCAGAAAAGAGAUGCUAGCUGCCUCUUUCCUA